GCCCCAAAAUCCCGGGAUUUCACCCCAGAAUUCACUUGAGGAUCUCACCCUGGUUGAAGGGUUUGAAAUCCCAGAAUCUGAGCCCCAAAAUCCCGGGAUUUGACCCCAAAUCAUUUGAAGAUCUUGCCCUGGUUGAAGGCCCCAAAAUCCCGGGAUCUGAGCCCCAAAAUCCCGGGAUUUCAGCCCCAAAAUCUCAGGAUUUCACCCCAAAUUCACUUGAAGAUCUUGCCCUGGUUGAAGGGU